rnacentral:rRNA from 1 species
CCUACGGGAGGCAGCAGUGGGGAAUAUUGGACAAUGGGGGGAACCCUGAUCCAGCCAUGCCGCGUGUGUGAAGAAGGCCCUCGGGUUGUAAAGCACUUUCAGUGAGGAAGAACGCCUGGUGGUUAAUACCCAUCAGGAAAGACAUCACUCACAGAAGAAGCACCGGCUAACUCCGUGCCAGCAGCCGCGGUAAUACGGAGGGUGCGAGCGUUAAUCGGAAUUACUGGGCGUAAAGCGCGCGUAGGUGGCUUGAUAAGCCGGUUGUGAAAGCCCCGGGCUCAACCUGGGAACGGCAUCUGGAACUGUCAAGCUAGAGUGCAGGAGAGGAAGGUAGAAUUCCCGGUGUAGCGGUGAAAUGCGUAGAGAUCGGGAGGAAUACCAGUGGCGAAGGCGGCCUUCUGGACUGACACUGACACUGAGGUGCGAAAGCGUGGGUAGCAAACAGGAUUAGAUACCCCUGUAGUC